GUAAAUUAUUAUCAAAUCCGCGAGGGAGUGGAAAUGACGGAAAUAAAAUCGGAGUACAUGGAAGCAGGUCACCAUCAGGCCCAUCAGCUCACAGUAACACUGAACCAACAGGCACAACUACAGCCAACAAGCCCAAAACAUCAGCACUCAGCUAUACCACAAUCUCAAGGAAACCAGUAUGCAGUGAGACCGGCGUACUCUAAAUGCGCCGAACACCCUUAUGGUGGACCACGUAAUCGCAGCAUAUACUGGAGGGGAAAUCCUUGAUCAUUAUUCUAUGUGAAGUGAAUUAUUAAUAGUCAUUCAAUGUCAUCGUGAAGCAUGCAAAUAUGCAAUCUUUGCAACAAAUCACAAUUCUGUACUUCUCCAUCUAGCAUACUAAUAUGACUUAAUUAUU
rnacentral:misc_RNA from 1 species